rnacentral:rRNA from 1 species
UACGUAGGGACCAAGCGUUGUUCGGAUUCACUGGGCGUAAAGGGUGCGCAGGCGGCCGUGUGUGUGAGGCGUGAAAGCCCGGGGCUUAACCCCGGAAUUGCACCUCAAACUACAUGGCUAGAGCAUUGGAGAGGGUAGCAGAAUUCAUGGUGUAGCAGUGAAAUGCGUAGAUAUCAUGAGGAAUACCAGAGGCGAAGGCGGCUACCUGGACAAUUGCUGACGCUCAGGCACGAAAGCGUGGGGAGCAAAAGGG